GACGACUUUGCUUUUGAGCACAAUACUGUGGCGCUGGCCUCCUUCUAGGUUCCCUGUUGGAAAUUAUGUUAUACUUAUGAAAGUCUUAGCAAACAUCCAUACAAGGACAGAUAGUUCUAUUAAACUUACACUUUUAAAGCUGUACACAUCUUUAUGUAUUAAACUUUUCCUUAUUAUCACCCAUUCUCAAGUAUUUACGCUAACUAACUUCUAUUUUGUUACCAGCUUUAUGUGAUUCUGUAGCUAGAAAACGUAUAGAGGAUGGAGAAGUAUUUCCACAAAUGUUUGUGCAGGCGAUGGGAAAAUCAGACCCCCAUUCUGUUCGAAUAGAGGGGUUUAGGCUUGCUCAAUGUCUAUUGAGAUCCCAAGAGAAUUGUUUAAAAGUGGUUGGUUUGUGUGGUGAAGCUCUUGUUGAUGCAAUAAUUUGUGGGAUGAAAGAAACUGGGCUGAGUUCUAAAUAAAUUGGGAACAACCAUGGGUCUUUGUCAGGGGAAGCAUGCCAGUCAGCUCUAAUUACUCGCUGGGCGGGUGAUCAUCAUAUCAAGUUUUGGAAACAAGGAAUUGAUAGAAUUCUCCUUAAUCCUCCUGAUUGAAAAUAUUCAAGACCAAUUGUCUAAACCUGUCUUGUCAUUGAAAAAACAAAUAUCCAUGGUAAAAGAGGGAUUAAAAGCCAAUUAUCAUCUUGGUCUUGGGAGUUAUCUAUGAGACAUUCUUGGGUGGCUUACUAUUCACUGUGGAGAAAAUUUAAACCCUCAUACUCAUGGAACUUGAGUUUUGUGGAUACACUUGAAAAAUGGUGCCGAAUAUGUCAAAAGGAUAUUGCUGAUCCUUUUCAAGGCGAACCAGUAUCAAGGGCUGUUCUCGUGAUGAUUCAUUCUCCACUUUCAUUCCAAUCCUCACUAGAGUCUCUGCAUUCUUGAUUUCACAAGAACAUACCCUCUCUGCAAGAACCCGUUUUUCACUUUUCCAGCUUCGUAUAUUCGGAUUCUCGGGAGUGAAAAUGUUCCAUGCGCUAUUCUAU